AGUAAAGUGGCAGAAAAGUGCCUCAAGUUUAAGCCUUGAUUAAGGAGAUUACUCCCUUUGCUA
rnacentral:tRNA from 1 species